UACGUAGGGAGCAAGCGUUGUCCGGAAUCAUUGGGCGUAAAGCGCGCGUAGGCGGCCCGGUAAGUCCGUCGUGAAAGUCAAAGGCUCAACCUUUGAAUGUCGAUGGAUACUGCCGGGCUAGAGUCCGGAAGAGGCGAGUGGAAUUCCUGGUGUAGCGGUGGAAUGCGCAGAGUAUCAGGAGGAACACCAAUAGCGAAGGCAGCUCGCUGGGACGGUACUGACGCUA
rnacentral:rRNA from 1 species